AGGCCUUUCGAGUGAGCAAGGUGCUUGUGAAACAGCACAUACAGAAUCUAAAAGUUAAGAACAGCAUACAGGCUUCAAUGGCAAAUAAAACCAUAUAUACAAAAAAUUAUAUUCAUAAAAUUACUUAUAAGUCACAACCAUACUUUGCUAAUGUAAAGAAAUUUAAAAACUACAUGAUAAGAAACGGUUGUCAACAAAGAACCAAAUAAGUCAAUAAUAUAUCAUAAAAUUACUUUUAAGUCACAGCCAUACUUUGCUAAUGUAAAGAAAUUUAAAAACUACAUGAUAAGAAACGGUUGUCAACAAAGAACCAAAUAAGUCAAUAAUAUAUCAUAUUAUCAGUACGAGGAUAUCACAAUAUCUUUAAGUAGAAGAAACCUAAUUUGCAAAUUAUCUGAAAGUCAAAAACUCUAAAAGAACUAAGGAAUAAACAUUCCAACUGCUGAAACUGUAAUGACCGGGUUUGUGGAUGUCUCCCCUACAUCACCACACUUAACGGGAUUUAGUAGCCACACUGCGUAUACUUACAUAAAAGGUAUCAUCAUUUGUAGGCACCUACAACACAAGCCUUCAUCCAAAGGUGCGCUUUUCUCAGUUCCAAUUAAAGAACUCUUCUACAUUUUUUUAAACUUAAACAUUAGCAAUAACCGGUCAAUGAUCGAGCUCCUUUCUAACUUCUCCAAACAAAAUCUUCCAAAUUUUGGGGAAGAGGGUGGGGGGGUGGGGGGGGUUAGAUUUUAGAAUAGGAUAAUGUGCCAAUCAUAUACUUCUAUCUAAAUAAGAAAACUGAAAAAUAAGACAUUUCUAAAAUAACUUCCAAAAUUAGCUUCCACACAAAUUCCUAAAGAUAUCUUUUUUACUCCUUUUGGUUUGAGCAUUGAUUAUUGUUGAAGGGACCUAUCAUGAUCUGAAAAAAUGGAUAAAAAACUUCAACAAAUAAUAUCAACAGUAAAUACUCUAUUUUUACGGAAAUAAAGAUUCAAAUAGCUGGCUAACUUAAUUU
rnacentral:lncRNA from 1 species